rnacentral:rRNA from 1 species
GACAGAGGGUGCAAACGUUGUUCGGAAUUACUGGGCGUAAAGCGCGUGUAGGCUGUUUCGCAAGUCGGGUGUGAAAGCCCUGGGCUCAACCUAGGAAGUGCACUCGAAACUGCGAGACUUGAGUCCUGGAGAGGAAGGCGGAAUUCUCGGUGUAGAGGUGAAAUUCGUAGAUAUCGAGAGGAACACCGGUGGCGAAGGCGGCCUUCUGGACAGUGACUGACGCUGAGACGGCGAAAGCGUGGGGAGCAAACAGGG